UACAGAGACCUCAAGCGUUAUCCGGAAUCAUUGGGCGUAAAGCGUGCCGAUAGGUGGUUGAAAUAGUCUUGGGUAAAAGCCAGAAGCUCAACUUCUGCGUUUGCUUAAGAUACUUUUCGACUAGAGGGGCAAAGAGGUGCUUGGAACGAAUGGUGUAGUAGUGAAAUGCGUUGAUAUCAUUCGGAACACCGAAAGCGAAGGCAGAGCACUGGGUGCCACCUGACACUGCUAGGACGAAAGCGUGGGUAGCGAAUGGG
rnacentral:rRNA from 1 species